UUUGUGCUCACUUCGGCAAAAUGUAUAAUUAAAGGAACGAUACAGAGAAGAUUAGCAUGGCACCUACAUGACAUGCAAAUUUGUGAAGUAUUCCAUAUUUUU